UACGUAGGGUGCAAGCGUUAAUCGGAAUCACUGGGCGUAAAGCGCACGUAGGCGGACUCUUAAGUCGGUGGUGAAAUCCUGGAGCUCAACUCCAGAACUGCCUUUGAUACUGAGGAUCUUGAGUUCGGGAGAGGUGAGUGGAACUGCGAGUGUAGAGGUGAAAUUCGUAGAUAUUCGCAAGAACACCAGUGGCGAAGGCGGCUCACUGGCCCGAUACUGACGCUGAGGCACGAAAGCGUGGGGAGCAAACAGG
rnacentral:rRNA from 1 species